AGGUUCUGACAAAUUUUUUUUUUUUUUGAGAGAGAUAGGCAUGCUACCCACUUCGUUUAUUUUAUUUACAAAUAAACUUAGCUGGAAAUGUGAAUCAUCGAGGAUUCGAACUUGGAAUCUCAGACACCAACCACCAAGCCCUUUGUUGAACUAGGUUCUGACAUAAAAAUGAAUAAAUAAAGUGUUUAAUUAGAUAAUAGUUAGUUAUUAAAUAAGUUUUAUGAAUAAAUAAAGUGUUUAAUUAGAUAGUAGUUAGUUAUUAAAUAAGUUCAUUAAUUAUUAAUUAGCAACAUUUUAUAA
rnacentral:lncRNA from 1 species